CAACCGGUGAAUAAAUUCAGACAGACAGAACCGAUCAUUAAUCUUCACGAAACUUUAGUAUAACAGCUGAAAAUCGAUCAUUGAUCAGGACAGUUGGUGACACUAAGCUCUUUGACUACAACAAAACUCCUCAGAGAUCAGAGGACACCAGCACAACUACACUGACACAAGUAUUCACUGCCUGGAAGGAUGAGGUGUUGAAGAUUUUAAAGUCAGCAGUUUGUCUUCAACUGAAUCAGCCAGUCAGAACUCUUCAUUGCAUCUGCAACACGUGUUGAAACCCAGCCCAGUUGGUCUCCAGUUGAAUCAGUGUUGAUGUUUCCAGCAGAGUGAUAUUAUGGCGUCUGCAGGUGAGUCCAGUCAGACUUUAUUAGUCUGGAUAUCUCUCCUCUCUCUCUGUCCACAUAUUACACACAUAAUAACAUCACUUUGUCCUCAGACUGUGAACCUGAAUUCAAUUCAGCUGAUUCAUCAACAGCUCUGAUUUUCCUGUUUGUACAAACACAAACAGUCACAGAACAGUUUUCCUCAGAUGGUUUAUUUGCUUGUUUGUUUUGCACUUUUAUCUGUUUGGUCAAUUCCUGACUUCAGUGCAAUAUUGUUUUGUUUGUCAUAAAAUUGCAUUUAAGACAAACUGAAAUUCAAACAUAAAGACAUUUUCAUGUGACUUCAUGUUUUGUCAUUUCCUGAAGAUUAACAUGUGCAUCAAAAUACAACUUUUAAUGGGUCUGUACAGUCAGAGAACAGCGGAGUCUUAUCAAUAAUGUCAUUAACAUGACUGAGUUUGGCAAAAAAAGUCUAUACUGUAUUUUAACUGUAUUUUGAUGUUGCAUGUGCCAAUAAUUUCUACACAGUAUUUUGAACUUUUAAACAUUUAAACUGAUGUCCUGUGAGUUGUUUGUGGCAUGAAAACAGAAUGUCAAGUAAUAUAUUUUAUUUCACUCUAAAACUUUAAAUCAAC